UCCCUGGAGGACUAGUAGUUAGACCACAGCGCUCUCUCCACUGCAGCCUGGGUUCGAUUCCCAGCCAGGGAA
rnacentral:tRNA from 1 species